UGCUUUUCCGAUUUGAGCUUUAUUGGCAUGACUGUGGAACAGCACAAUGUUGCCAAAGCAAUAAACAGUGAACAAGUUAUACAGGC